GGCACCUUCAAAUCAUGUCCCCAUGCACUUCAGCUGUUGAGGAGAAAGCCGCAAUGCUGCUCCAAAAAUAACCCUUUUGUGGAAUAGGAACCUUCUGCCGACUUUCCAUCGGCAUGUGGCAGCAACACCAGUGCAAGAUCAUCCUGCUGCAGUCAUCUUGGACUGUACGGAGUGAUCCAAACAGCACACCCAAAUGGAGAGCCAUGCUCAGGAGAUGAGUCCGUAGCUGAUAUAAUCGUAACUAUCAAAAAUUGGUCUCAGAUCUCCGCAGCAUGAGAAAUGAUAAACCAGCCACCAACAGCGUGCCGAAGAAGCCCCCAAUGACACAGCCAAUGAGAGUUGCGUAGCUGGUGCCAUCAUCUAGGAGCAAAGAGAAUGAAGUUCCCUUGAGGGUCCACACAGCCACUGACUCUUCUUCCGUCAUAUCACAACUUCCAUACAGAGCCUGAGGAGAC